AUUGAACGCUGGCGGCAGGCCUACACAUGCAAGUCGAAGGUAACAGGAAGCAGCUUGCUGCUUUGCUGACGAGUGGCGACGGGUGAGUAAUGUCUGGGAAACUGCCUGAUGGAGGGGGAUAACUACUGGAAACGGUGCUAAUACCGCAUAACGUGCAAGACCAAAGAGGGGGACCUUCGGGCCUCUUGCCAUGGAUGUGCCCAGAUGGGAUUAGCUAGUGGUGGGGUAACGGCUCACCUAGGCGACGAUCCCUAGCUGGUCUGAGAGGAUGACCAGCCACACUGGAACUGAGACACGGUCCAGACUCCUACGGGAGGCAGCAGUGGGGAAUAUUGCACAAUGGGCGCAAGCCUGAUGCAGCCAUGCCGCGUGUAUGAAGAAGGCCUUCGGGUUGUAAAGUACUUUGCAGCGGGGAGGAAGGCGAUAAGGUUAAUAACCUUGUCGAUUGACGUUACCCGCAGAAGAGC
rnacentral:rRNA from 1 species